rnacentral:rRNA from 1 species
UUGACUGUUUUACAAAGACAUUGCUUUUUGGAAAGAUAAAAAGUAAUUCCUGCCCACUGUUUUUACUAAUAAAGGGCUGCAGUAUUUUGACUGUAUAAAGGUAGCAUAAUCAUUAGCUUCUUAAUUAGAAGCUGGUAUGAAGGGGAAACUAGAAAAAAAUGUGUUUUUUGAGAAGGUAGAAUUUGAUUACUUUGUGAAAAAUCAAAGUUAAAAAUAAGGGACAAGAAGACCCUAAUUUAAGUUUAAUUAUAAUUAUUUAUAGAGUGCAAAGAUAUUAGUACAGCAUGGAUAGAAUAGUUUAGCUGGGGCGGUAAAUUUUGGAAACAUAAUUAUGAAUUUAAUUUUAAUAUAAAGCGGGUAAGAGACCUAACUAGGUUAGUUGAAGGAAAAAUUACUUUAGGGAUAACAGCGUUAUUAUUUUAGAAAGUUCUCAUUAGCAAAAUAGUUUGCGACCUCGAUGUUGGAUUAAGAUUAGAAUUGGUGCAGGAGCCAGUGAGAUCGUGCGUCUAGGAGANC